CUGGUCACCUAGGGGUGCUUGACUUCACGGCGCAAAUGCAGGAGGAGAGGACGAGAAGCUGGGCCACAAGUCAGCUUAUCCGACCUGCAUUUUCGUCAGGAGCUGCCAGAAGGGACCCAACCACCUCAAUUCACAAAUCUGGAAACUGAGGCUCGGGGAGAAGCUACUAAACCCAAUCAUGACGUGGCAAGGCCUAACUCAGGGUCCGUGUGUGGGGCUAUUUCCGGUCUCGUACAGGAUGGAGUUGCCCUAGGCCUUAAAUUUACCUGAGGCCACCGUGGCUGGUACUCGGGCGACAGAGGCACUGAAUGUCCACUGGCAGAGGAGCAGGUCCACCUUGGUGAAAACUGCCACGACGGCCGGGGACCCCGGGGUCCGAGCCUACGAAGCCCAUCAAAUCCUGUUGGCAUGAAAAGUGCUUCGGACAAAACCGAGUCUCACUAAUGACACAGACAUGCUGAGGAAAGAAAAGCCGGAAGGAGAUGUUAGGAACCAGGAUGAUUGAUCUCGGAGGCAAGAAUCAAUUGCACAUUCUAAGAAGCAAGACAAGAUUUGUGUUUUAUGUUCAACUUGGCGUUUUCCCCUCAUCUCCUCCAACUCUUUUCACAAAGGGAAUGAGGGGACAUAUUACUAGAGGAAUGAAAUCCUGUCGAUCUCAAUACUCUUGCUAUAAAUGAGCCCAGAAGAGAAGAGGAAGCUGCAAUAUAUUACCAGCCAAGAAUUGUGGAGAAGUGGUAUAAAGGAUGUCACCAGAGAGAUGCAGAACCGGAAAGGAAGGUGGGUCAGUCAUGUAGUGAGAGCAAGGGACAACAGAUGGACAAGCCGUACACUCCAAUGGUAUCCGUGCGUUGUCAAGAGAUCUAGAGGAAGGCUCCUAUCCCAGCACGUUGGGUGGACUCCCUGUGGAGGAUCUACAGGAGGACAUGGACAAGAGGCGCACAGGAUAAGAAGGCGUGAUUGGCGUUGCGGAUCUGCAUCGCUGGAAGGAAUGCCCGGAUCAAGGAGAUCACAGAUCUAUCCAAGUGCCUAUAAAGUCAUUUUAAUCUUGAAGCAGGAAGCAGCUGCUUAUUCGUGACCCAUAGCAAGUGAGUGUCACUGAAGACUGACGGUUGUGACUUGGCUGUAAUGAAUGAGGAAUGCUGCUGUAAGAGGCGAAAAUGAAUAGCUGAUUUUCAACCAGAAAUCUCUACUAAUAUGGAAUGAAGAAAGAAAUAGGGCAUGAUACCCAAGGGAGGUGUGAACAUUUGUCAACAGAUCAUAAUUCUUAAGUUUCCCAUGUGGUGUGAGAUUUCAAACUCUUCACAGAUUUUUUUUUUAAAUGGGAAAGAAGAAAUUGGGGCAGAAGGGAGGGAGAGGCAGGAGAAAAUAGCAAUAUCAGAAAGGAAUACAUUUUGUUUUUAAAGGAGAGGAGUUUAGAAAACACUUUCUUUAACAUCACUCAUGGUCAGACUGAUCUUGUUUUAGGCACAUAACAGCUCAUUUUAAUUUUCCCUUUGAUUAUUGACUAUGACACAAAAAUGGCAAAUGCCUAUCACCCUUACCUGUCAUGAACAGAGAGCCGGGGCAAACUCUCCUACUGUUCAGACUUUAUUGCCCUCACAAAAUACUUUAAUACAAAAUUUAUUAUAGACUGUGAAAUGAAAUCAAAAUUAAAAAGGAAAUGACACUUGCACGAUG